GUCCUUUCGGGACAUUCGAUUAAAUAGGAACGAUAAAGAAAAAAUAAGCAUGAAUCUUACCCAAGGAUGACAUGCAUAAAUUGAGAAAUGAUUCAAUUUUUU